rnacentral:rRNA from 1 species
AGAUUGAACGCUGGCGGCAGGCCUAACACAUGCAAGUCGAGCGGUAGAGAGGUGCUUGCAUCUCUUGAGAGCGGCGGACGGGUGAGUAAUGCCUAGGAAUCUGCCUAGUGGUGGGGGAUAACGUUCGGAAACGGACGCUAAUACCGCAUACGUCCUACGGGAGAAAGCGGGGGACCUUCGGGCCUCGCGCCAUUAGAUGAGCCUAGGUCGGAUUAGCUAGUUGGUGAGGUAAUGGCUCACCAAGGCGACGAUCCGUAACUGGUCUGAGAGGAUGAUCAGUCACACUGGAACUGAGACACGGUCCAGACUCCUACGGGAGCAGCAGUGGGGAAUAUUGGACAAGUGGGGACGAAAGCCUG